AUCGUUAUGAAUUAAUUAAUUUGUUUAUACAAACGCGGAUAAGAUUAUAGUGAAAACCGUUCGCACACGCACACGCACACGAGACACUAAUAAUAAUUUAGGUCUGGAGAGUUAUAUUAUUUUAAAGCGGUAUACCAUCCUUCGCGGACGAACGUUACUGGUGACGUCGAUGGGAUCGCCGUUUAAGAUGGGUACCUAUGUAGGAUACGCAGAACAUAUAGAAUAGGUACGGAAGUCGGCGGUUUGGAAAACACAAAUUUGGCGAACACCCCCGGCCACAGAUCGUGUUUUCAUAAUCGAUUGAAAACAAAUUGCGAACCAAUAUUCAAUUCGAGAUUUAAAAACAAUGGUGUGCGUGGCCGGACUGAGCGUUAUGCCAAACUUCCCAUCAUGACACUAUCACAAACGAGUGAUUCGUUUUACCCUCGUGGACGAACGUUACUGCAGGUGACGUCGAUGGGAUCGCCGUUUAAGAUGAGUACCUAUAUAGGAUAUUAUGUAGAACAUAAGAAUAGGUACGGAAGUCGACGGUUUGGAAAACAUAAAUUUGGCGAACACCUCCGCCCACAGAUAGACCUUGUUCUGCGGAAACGUUGAAAUUGUGAAUUAUAUUUGCACCGAACAGAUAGAGCAUCCAAUAGGAAAGCGUGUCUCCGACACAAGCUCUCUUACCUGAAAACAGCGCAUUGCAUAUUGACA